AGUGAACGCUGGCGGUAGGCCUAACACAUGCAAGUCGAACGGCAGCACAGUAAGAGCUUGCUCUUACGGGUGGCGAGUGGCGGACGGGUGAGGAAUACAUCGGAAUCUACUUUUUCGUGGGGGAUAACGUAGGGAAACUUACGCUAAUACCGCAUACGACCUACGGGUGAAAUCAGGGGAUCUUCGGACCUUGCGCGAUUGAAUGAGCCGAUGUCGGAUUAGCUAGUUGGCGGGGUAAAGGCCCACCAAGGCGACGAUCCGUAGCUGGUCUGAGAGGAUGAUCCGCCAAACUGGAACGGAGACACGGUCCAGACUCCUAGGGGAGGCAGGAGUGGGGAAUAUUGGAAAAUGGGCGAAAGCCUGAUCCAGCCAUACCGCGUGGGUGAAGAAGGCCUUCGGGUUGUAAAGCCCUUUUGUUGGGAAAGAAAAGCAGCAGGUUAAUACCCCGCUGUUCUGACGGUACCCAAAGAAUAAGCACCGGUUAACUUCGU
rnacentral:rRNA from 1 species